rnacentral:lncRNA from 1 species
GGCUUUGUUUAGUUUCUAAAAAAAUUUUGUAAAAUUUUUCAGAUUUCCCGUCACAUCAAAUCUUUAGACGCAUGCAUGGAGUAUUAAGGCCUUGUUUAGUUCGCAAAAUUUUUCAAGAUUCCUCGUUACAUCGAAUCUUUGGUCGCAUGCAUGAAGUAUUAAUUAUAGACGAAAAUAAAAACUAACUGCACAGUUUACCUGUAAUUUGUGAAAUGAAUCUUUUGAGCCUAGUUACUCCG